AGCGAACGCUGGCGGCAGGCCUAACACAUGCAAGUCGAACGGACCCUUCGGGGUUAGUGGCGGACGGGUGAGUAACGCGUGGGAACGUGCCCUUUGGUUCGGAAUAGCCUCGGGAAACUGGGAGUAAUACCGGAUACGCCCUUCGGGGGAAAGAUUUAUCGCCAAAGGAUCGGCCCGCGUUGGAUUAGGUAGUUGGUGGGGUAACGGCCUACCAAGCCGACGAUCCAUAGCUGGUUUGAGAGGAUGAUCAGCCACACUGGGACUGAGACACGGCCCAGACUCCUACGGGAGGCAGCAGUGGGGAAUCUUGCGCAAUGGGCGAAAGCCUGACGCAGCCAUGCCGCGUGAAUGAUGAAGGUCUUAGGAUUGUAAAAUUCUUUCACCGGGGAAGAUAAUGACGGUAUCCGGAGAAGAAGCCCCGGCUAACUUCGUGCCAGCCGCCGCCUAAGAC
rnacentral:rRNA from 1 species